CCAAUAGCGUAUAUUAAAGUUGUUGCAGUUAAAAAGCUCGUAGUUGAAUUUCGGGGUUAGCAGGUCGGUCGUGCCAUUGGUAUGAACUGGUCUCGCUGAUCCCUCCCUCUUGACGAACUGUGAUGCCAUUAAUUUGGUGUCGCAGGGAAUCAGGACUGUUACUUUGAAAAAAUUAGAGUGUUUAAAGCAGGCUUUCGCUU
rnacentral:rRNA from 1 species